AAAUACAUGUACAAAUACAUACAGGUACACAUACUGUACAAAUACAUACAGGUACACAUACUGUACAAAUACAUAAAGGUACACAUACUGCUCAAAUACAUAAAGGUACACAUACUGUACAAAUACAUAAAGGUACACAUACUGUACAAAUACAUACAGGUACACAUACUGCUCAAAUACAUAAAGGUACACAUACUGCUCAAAUACAUAAAGGUACACAUACUGUUCUAUGUAGAUCAUCUAUAUAGCUGCUGUGGGAUCUUGAUUAAAGGCUCAAUACAAUCAAACAGGUCAGGAAACUCUCAGGUGAUUCCAGAUUAGCGGCCAUUUCAAAGGGUGAGCAAUUUCCCCAGUCCCACCCGACCAUCUGCAUACCGCACUGGAACCUUUGAUAUCCCUUGGUUCUUCUAUUCCCUUGGUCCUACCAUCCAACUACACCUGUCUGUCUCACACUCUCUCCUCUUGGUAGACCUGUCUGUCUGUCUCACACUCUCUCCUCUUGGUAGACCUGUCUGUCUGUCUCACACUCUCUCCUCUUGGUAGACCUGUCUGUCUGUCUCACAUUCUCUCCCCUUGGUAGACCUGUCUGUCUGUCUCACAUUCUCUCCCCUUGGUAGACCUGUCUGUCUCACAUUCUCUCCUCUUGGUAGACCUGUCUGUCUGUCUGUCUCACAUUCUCUCCUCUUGGUAGGUCUGUCUGUCUGUCUGUCUCACAUUCUCUCCCCUUGGUAGACCUGUCUGUCUGUCUCACAUUCUCUCCCCUUGGUAGACCUGUCUGUCUGUCUGUCUGUCUCACAUUCUCUCCCCUUGGUAGACCUGUCUGUCUCACAUUCUCUCCUCUUGGUAGACCUGUCUGUCUGUCUCACAUUCUCUCCUCUUGGUAGGUCUGUCUGUCUCUCACAUUCUCUCCCCUUGGUAGACCUGUCUGUCUGUCUGUCUGUCUCACAUUCUCUCCCCUUGGUAGACCUGUCUGUCUGUCUCACAUUCUCUCCCCUUGGUAGACCUGUCUGUCUGUCUCACAUUCUCUCCUCUUGGUAGACCUGUCUGUCUGUCUCAC
ensembl:lncRNA